UACGGAGGAUGCAAGCGUUCUCCGGAAUGAUUGGGCGUAAAGCGUCCGCAGGUGGCUCUGUAAGUCUGCUGUUAAAGAGUGAGGCUCAACCUCAUAAGAGCAGUGGAAACUACAUGGCUAGAGUGCGUUCGGGGCAGAGGGAAUUCCUGGUGUAGCGGUGAAAUGCGUAGAGAUCAGGAAGAACACCGGUGGCGAAAGCGCUCUGCUAGGCCGCAACUGACACUCAUGGACGAAAGCUAGGGGAGCGAAUGGG
rnacentral:rRNA from 1 species